rnacentral:rRNA from 1 species
UCAGACCUAACACAUGCAAGUCGAACGAGACCUUCGGGUCUAGUGGCGCACGGGUGCGUAACGCGUGGGAAUCUGCCCUUGGGUUCGGAAUAACUCAGAGAAAUUUGAGCUAAUACCGGAUGAUGACGUAAGUCCAAAGAUUUAUCGCCCAAGGAUGAGCCCGCGUAAGAUUAGCUUGUUGGUGGGGUAAUGGCCUACCAAGGCGACGAUCUUUAGCUGGUCUGAGAGGAUGAUCAGCCACACUGGGACUGAGACACGGCCCAGACUCCUACGGGAGGCAGCAGUGGGGAAUAUUGUAAAGUGGGCGAAAGCCUGAUCCAGCAAUGCCGCGUCUGUAAGAGGGCCUUAGGGUUGUAAAGCUCUUUACCAGGGAUGAUA